rnacentral:misc_RNA from 1 species
UUUCCGUAGGUGAACCUGCGGAAGGAUCAUUAUCGAGUUAGGGUCUCUGGCCCGACCUCCAACCCUGUGUCUACUAUACCAUGUUGCUUUGGCGGGCCCGCGUUCGUCGCCGCCGAGGGGUUGACCCCCCUGGGCCAGUGCCCGCCGAUAGCCCCCUCUUAAACUCUUGAUCAACCGUGAAUGUCUGAGUAAAAGAAAAAUCAAGCACAAAACUUUCAACAACGGAUCUCUUGGUUCUG